AUGGUGCUUGCACCUGAUUGACGAUGGAUCACCAGUGAGUGGCGGACGGGUGAGUAACACGUAGGUAACCUGCCCCGGAGCGGGGGAUAACAUUUGGAAACAGAUGCUAAUACCGCAUAACAACAAAAGCUGCAUGGUUUUUGUUUGAAAGAUGGCUUUGGCUAUCACUCUGGGAUGGACCCGCGGUGCAUUAGCUAGUUGGUAAGGUAACGGCUUACCAAGGCGAUGAUGCAUAGCCGAGUUGAGAGACUGAUCGGCCACAAUGGAACUGAGACACGGUCCAUACUCCUACGGGAGGCAGCAGUAGGGAAUCUUCCACAAUGGGCGCAAGCCUGAUGGAGCAACACCGCGUGAGUGAAGAAGGGUUUCGGCUCGUAAAGCUCUGUUGUUGGAGAAGAACGUGCGUGAGAGUAACUGUUCACGCAGUGACGGUAUCCAACCAGAAAGUCACGGCUAACUACGUGCCAGCAGCCGCGGUAAUACGUAGGUGGGAAGCGUUAUCCGGAUUUAUUGGGCGUAAAGCGAGCGCAGGCGGUUGCUUAGGUCUGAUGUGAAAGCCCUCGGCUUAACCGAAGAAGUGCAUCGGAAACCGGGCGACUUGAGUGCAGAAGAGGACAGUGGAACUCCAUGUGUAGCGGUGGAAUGCGUAGAUAUAUGGAAGAACACCAGUGGCGAAGGCGGCUGUCUGGUCUGCAACUGACGCUGAGGCUCGAAAGCAUGGGUAGCGAACAGGAUUAGAUACCCUGGUAGUCCAUGCCGUAAACGAUGAGUGCUAGGUGUUGGAGGGUUUUCGCCCUUCUGUGCCGGAGCUCCCGCUUUAAGCACUUCCCCCGGUGAAACGGUCGCCCAGUUA
rnacentral:rRNA from 1 species